ACAAGAACUUGCCAACACUGCACAUGUCUCCCAUUGCUUGCUAACAUGUGGCUGCCUGCAUCACCUUCUCCCUGUUGAAGAAGAAAUGUGAACCAGAAGGUAGAAUAGAGGCAUUAGAAUUUCACAGCCAAAUAUGCACAGGACUAAGAAAAAAUAGCAUGGAAUUCCACACCAAGGUAUGCAUGGGACUAAUUCAAAAUAACAUGGACUAAGGAAACAUGGCUCUGAUGAGAUUCAGGCUCACAGAGACUUAAGCCUCAGAAUUAAUCCCUCAGGUCAGACAGUCAUCACAGCACCCGGAGCUAGGCCCUUGUUCUCUCACAUAGUAAGUACCUCAGAGAAGCUCAGGGUCUACCCAGUCCCUCUCAGCACACAGCUCUUGAGUAACUGUUGGUCAGUGGGUGCCCAGCCUUUGAGCAGCUUAAUAGCAGCUGAAGUCAAGGCUGCUUAGAAGCCUUCAGGAAGAGCUUACAGAAAAAAAACAAAAAAAAACAACAACAAAAAAACAAAAAAAACAAAAAACAAAA
rnacentral:lncRNA from 1 species